rnacentral:lncRNA from 1 species
UUCUAUGUUGCAAGAAGUUUACUAUUUUAUCCAGCAAAAUAUAUAAUUUAUGGUGGCUAUGCAUACGAGAGUUGGGAUGAGGAAUUGAUAAAACAUGUUCUUGGUUUCUUCACACCAGAUAACAUGAGGGUUGAUUUGGUAUCAAAGUCCUCAAUUAAGUCAGAAGGUAAAUCUUUUAUGCCCUUUUAUGCCCAAAAAAGAAGAAGAAAAAAGAAAAAGAAAAAAAGAAAAAAAGGGAGGAAGGAUGCUUGUUGUCCAUCUAACUGCAUCUUAUUAUUUAGGGAAUAUUAUAGGAAGUGUCUCUAGUAGGUUUUCUGGUAACAUCCCUUAUAUUCCCAUUAGGGGUUUAACUGUUUCAGAUUUCCAGUGCGAGCCUUGGUUUGGGUCAAAAUAUACUGAGGAGGAUAUAUCUCCUUCUUUGAUGGAUUUGUGGAAGGAUCCUCUAGAAAUUGAUGUCUCAUUGCACCUCCCUUCUAAAAACGAGUUCAUUCCUUUUGAUUUUUCCAUCCGUUCCGAUAACUCGUGUCAUGAUCCUGCAAAUAUAUCUUCCCCAAGAUGUAUAAUUGAUGAACCAUUAAUGAAGCUCUGGUACAAGCUUGAUACUACUUUUAAGCUUCCGCGGGUAAAUACAUACUUCCGCCUCAGUCUGAAGGGUGGAUGUGCUAAUCUGAGGAAUUCUAUUUUGAUGGAACUAUAUGGUCGCCUUCUUAGAGAUGAGCUGAAUGAGAUUAUAUAUCAGGUGCAUGUCAUGUCCUUCAUAACUAAUUAGUUUGUGGUUCAGUUUGGAUGGCUCUUUUGUACUUAAAUACGUUUUAGGGGAACACACUUGCAUUUAGUUCAGUUCUGAAUCUCUCUGCAGUCUGCGUCCAAGUUUGUUCAGGAGAAGGACUUGGAUUUUAUAGUGGCUUACAAUAGUACAGCCUAGCAAUUGGAUGUACGUAAUGGUCCAAACAAAAUAUCUUCUAUUAACUUCUCAUUAUGUGAAUCAGAAACUACAUUGUGUUUUCUUAUCCAAAUCUUCUUAAGAGCGGGCGGUCUUUCUGUUCAAAAGUUUUAAAUUUCUUAACAAACUUCCCUCAUUUUAAUCUUCUCGAUAUUUAGUAAUUCAGUUGUAAGAUUAUAAGUCAUGCUAGAAGCGCCCCUUGUCUUGCUUAGCUCAGUUUUGAGCACUAAAGAGCCAUUUGACCAAGGCCUUUCUUUUAAGAGUGACCUAUUCAAUUGAUGCUGUAUUCAUCCAUGUAGAUCAUUUUUCUCUCAGUGACUUAGCAACCUAGUUCUUCAUAGCAAAGAUGUUUUUGGAAUGCAUACAUGAGCGGAACCUUUGGUCUGUGGAUGCAGGCACUGCUUGCCAAUCUGGAAGCUUAUGUAGGUCCGGUUGGUGAAAAACUGGAGAUCAAGGUCAGUGGUUUCAACGAUAAGCUUCCAGCUCUCUUAUCAAAAAUCUUGGCCACAGUCAAAAAAAAUUUUGCCAACCGAUGAUCGCUUGAAGGUAUGUCACUCCACUCUAUGCCUUCCUAGUUCCAGCUUGUCCACCCCUAAGUACACUUUAACAGGUUAUUAAAGAAAAUAUGAAGCGAAGGAUAAAGAACACGAAUAUGAAUCCUCUGGUGCACACAUCAUACUUGAGACUGCAAGUUCUGUUGCAGACUUUCUAUGAUCCAGAUGACAAGUUGCAUGUUUUAGACGAAUUGUCUAUUUCUGAUUUGAAUUCAUUUAUUCCGGAGCUUUGGUCCCAGGUACACACUGGACACAUAUAUGUUAUGAUGAAUAUUUGUUAUAGUUUACUUCGGUCACAUUCAUCAAACUCAACAUCAUCCUCCAGCCAUUAGAAAAUCAUGCCGUUCAGGCUUCUUGACCUCCUAUUCUUCCUCCUUCACAUGUAAUUUGAUAAGUGGAGAGUGGUAUGAUAUUGUGAAAGAGUCGGAGAGGUGGCUUCCAAGUGUCAAUCAAAUAAUUAAUCUUGCAAUGUUCUUUAACAAUAUUUUCUAUAUUGCUUUUGGAAUUAGUUUGAUUCAGGCAUUUGCUUACAGCUUACCUUCUCCUCAAUAUGGACAGGUAUUCAUUGAGGGCCUUUGCCAUGGCAAUAUGUUAGAAGAAGAAGCAAUUAGCCUUUCAAAUAUAUUCAAAAUGAAUUUUCCGUACAACCACUUCCUACCGAAUUGUGGCAUAGAGAACGUGUUCUUUGUCUUCCUCCUGGUGCUAACCUGGUCAGAGAUGCCAGUGUGAAGAACAAGUCGGAAACAAACUCUGUAACUGAGGUAACUCAAAAUGGGCUAAUUUUGUUUGGUUUUUCAUGUAUAAAGAUGUACUUUGUUCAUCUUAUGUAUGUUGAUAUUCUUCCCAUGGUUUUGGUUUCAUCUUGCAGCUGCAUUUUCAAAUUAAGCAGGACGUGUUGACCACAAUGAACGGAGUGAUAGAUCUUUUGAUUGCAAUUAUAUGGGAACCACUUUUCAAUCAGCUAAGGUGAUUCGGUUUGAUGCUUACUUAAACUUUCUAACUAUUAUUUGGGUCAAGAUGAUACAUUCAAAAUAUAUGUAUAUACAUUCAUAUAAUUGUGACGGCUGUCUAUUUAUUGAAAUAGGACGAAGGAGCAGCUUGGAUAUAUUGUUGAGUGUGGCCCACGGAUAACAUACCGUGUUUUUGGCUUUAUUUUCUAUGUUCAGUCGUCUGAGUACAGCCCAGUCUACUUACAAGAGAGAAUUGACAACUUUAUAAAUGGUCUGGAAGAAUUGUUGGUAAGCAGUCAGCUUCUAGAUGCCGCUAGUUCAUGAUUUAAGUUACAUCAUUGUUGUUUCUGCAUUCUGGUGUCAGAGUUAGUUAUUGAGAAACUGUUGGCAUUUGCAGGAAGGGAUUGAUGAUGAUUUGUUUGAAAAUUAUAGAAGUGGGCUAAUGGCUGGCCUAUUGGAGAAAGAUCUAUCCCUCACUUGUGAAACCGAUAGAUUUUGGUGUGAGAUUGUUGGAAAAAGGUGACGUCGUCCUUGUAAUUCCAAAGACUGCAUUUAGAAAGAUCAUAAAUUGCUUCUUUGCGAUUUCUAAUCCUUGUGAGUGGAAGCUCAUUCUUCCAACUCUAACAAUUGCUGGCCUUCAGGUAUAUGUUUGACUUUGCUGCAGAGGAAGCAGAAGAGCUCAAAACCAUUCACAAGGAGGAUGUUAUCAACUGGUACAGAACAUAUCUACAACAAUCAUUGCCCAAGUGUCGUAGACUUGCGACUCGGGUUUGGGGUUGCAACACUGACCCGAAAGAGGCUGAAGCGCGAUUGGAGUCGAUGAAAGUCAUCGAAGACCCUGCAACCUUCAAGAUGUCAUCUACGUUCUACCCCAGCCUCUUUUGAAAAUAUAGACCAGCUUUGAUUAUCUUUGUCAAAAACUAAACCAUUAGAAACAAUGAAGCCUCAGUUUGGAGCAGGUGCAUUCAUUCAUUCAUUCAUUUGAAUAAGAUUCAUAAAUUG